GUGCAACAUACUGCUAAUGACUGUGUGCUGGCAGACUGCAUUUCAAUUUCACCUAUUUAAGACAGGUUUUGAAACUAAUUAAUUAAUUGUUGUCUGCAAAUCAUGUUCAGGUCCUCAGGUGAAAUCCAUUACCCUGGCAUACUUGAUUAUUUAUUAUAGAUUAAAUGAAAAAGGAAAAAAAUAAUUGCAGACUGGUCUGAAAGCAUCAGCAGAAUGUCCUAAAGAUAAGAAUAAGAUUAGUCUUGUUAAUAAGUAAUUAUGCGCAGCUUUUCAGGAAGAAAACAGAUUUAAAUUUUUAUGCACAAUAACAUAUGGAGCAAGAUGUCUGGAAUAGUAGGGAAGCAAUUAUAAAAACCCUGCUCAAACCUCCCGUGAAGCAAACUGAAAUGAAGAAGAUAAGUAAUGCUGCAAUUCUUGUAGCCCCAGUGGAGUGAAUUGUGAACUGGAACUAAACAAGGUUUUUGCUCAACUGAUCUUUUGUCUCUAUGUGAGCUGACUUUUAAAUAACCACCUCUGUCAAGCAAGAAGCAAUACAGCUUUACAAUUAUCUUGGUGACACUAUUAUUUUGAAAAUACAGUUAGCAUCAGCUUUCACUGAUCUGUACAGCUCUUCCACAAGACCACACAAGUAUUAAUUCAUCACUUGCAAUUUGAUACUACAAUUAUGCAAAAUCAGAAGAAAGAUUAUUUGAUCCUUGUGAUAAAGUCUGGCCAGAGCCCUAGGCCACUUCCAGGACACAUCUGGGAAGGAGCAGACACAGCCAGGCUGCAAGACUUCCUUCCGCAACCCAGAUUCCAUCUGCCUCAGCCACAGAUGGGCACUAUGGUCUGCUCCUCUCAUUUUUAUCAUUCUCACAAGGAUAGCAUGUAUAAUGAAGCACUCAUUCAAGAAUCAUUAAAAUGAGCACUUAUUCAAAUAAAUGAGUUAUCACUGUGCAAGUAACUGAACCCUUUAUACUCAAUUGAACUACUGACCAAGUUAAUGGCAAGUUAAUAGGGUUUUUUUUAAGAAAAAGAGAAACAUGUGAUGACAGGUCUUCCACUGUACAGCUUCAUGUAUGUGAGAGCAUUUCCCUUUCUACAAAAUAUUCCUCCUAAUGUGCAUUGCAUGCCAGUUCACACACACACACCUAACCUCCAUUUGGGUAAUGAUAAUCAGAGAUAUAAUCAGGAAGCCUGGUGAACAUCAGCAAGAAAUGCAAAACUCCUGCUAGAGCAAGGUGGUAUUCUCCAAAACAUCACAGCUAAUACCUGAAUUUAAGAAUGGAGGAAGAAGAAAAUCAGUCACAGGGACACCUACUGCAGCUCUCCAGCGCCUUUCUUUACAAGAUUUGCUGUCUAUUUGUGCCAGUGAAACCCCUGUAGCCACAAAACAUUCCAGUGUUGAAUAUCUGUGUACCUCAAGGAUAUAUAUGCUAGGAAACAUGAGGGGCUGAGAGGAAAA